GGCUGGUCCAAGUGCAGUGUUUACAACUAAUGGAUCACAAGUUACAGAGUUCUUUGUCCCUUAUCCACUCCCACUACUUCCCUUGACUAGCCUUAA
ensembl:Y_RNA Y_RNA Y RNA